rnacentral:misc_RNA from 1 species
GAUUAGAGUACCAACUCCAUUUUUGGGACCUUGAAUGGAGUCAGAACACCAAAAUAAUUCACUCAAGUGCUUGUCAUCACAGAUGCUCACGGACCCAAUAUGCACCAACCCUUUUUGCUUCUUUUGCACCAUGAAUGAGCCAGACCCACCUCUCAGAAAAACCAAAAUGGCUCAGUGUUUCAAAGAAAUGCCUCUCAGAGAUGACCAAGAACAUGUCUUGGUCUUAAGUGGGCUCUGGAACAUUGCCAUGACUCAACCUGACGACCCUGAAUUCCCAUCUCUUGGCAUCUUUGAGUGCAUGAAGAAACUGAUAUACAGAGGCAUCAAAGAUAAAGAAUGGCUUCUUAGAGACCAAAAUAUCUAUAUUCCCUACUAUGCAGCUCAUAUCAUUGGUUCCUACACAAUGAACGAGGCUGAAUUUGCAGAGAAAGCGGUAAACUCAGGCGCGGUUUUGCCCCUGAUGGAGCUUCUUAGAGGAAAGAUCACAUGGGUAGAGCAAAGAGUUGCAGUCCGAGCACUAGGUCACCUGGCUAGCCAUGAAAGGACCUUUGAAGCCAUUGCUGAUCAUGAAGACGAGAUCGUAGAAUUGGCCAAAGAGUUAGCUUGCAAUUGCCUUAAAACAAUCUAUAAAAAAUUUCUUGGUGUAAGGGAUAUCAAGAGACUCAAGUACCACCGUGACCUGCUCACAAGAGGACUUGGAGGGAUAGAGUUAGAGAACAGAAAGGCAGAGGAAUGGGCUAGCCAGUUACAGUGCUGGUCUCUGUAUCUCUUAAACUGCUUUGCAUGUAAAGAAAGAUCUCUUAGUCUCAUCUGCAAGAAACACUUCUUGAAGGAUCUGUGUGGCAUGUGGGGUGGCUUAGGGAAUCGAACAUCACCUGGUGGGAUUGGACUCAUAAGAAGUUUAUGCAACACCAAAACUGGAAGAGAAAGUAUAGCAAAUUUAGAAGAAGUGAUAAUGAGUCUCUGCAACACUUCAAGAUCUUCUGAUGAUUGGCAGUACAUGGCUAUAGAUUCUCUUAUCUUACUGCUCAAAGACAUAGAUACCAGAUAUAAAGUCAUCGACAUCGCCGCUUUAUUUCUGGUUGACUUGGUAGAGCUAAGAAGCUUAAAUGAAAGAACCAAAAUUGGAGAAGCAAUCGCGCAGACACUUUUACAAGAUUACCAUAAGAUCAAAUAUGGGGGACUGAGUUUGAAGAGCCAAAGUGCAGAGGAAGCAUUAAAGGAGACAUGGGAAUUGAAGGUAGAAAGAAGAAAGAGAGAGGAGCUAAUUUCUGAACAGGAAUUGAAAGUGAGAAAAGAUUUUGUCCGCACAUUAAAACAAGAAGGGAACAAUUUGUUCUGGUCUGGCUACAUUGAAAAUGCUGUCAUCAAGUACACGAAAGCUAUGGAUUUGUGCCCACUAAAGAUGAGAAAAGAGAGGAUAGUUCUUUAUAGCAACAGAGCUCAGUGUUACUUGUUGCUUAAAAAACCAGAAGAAGCCAUUAGUGACGCCACUAGAGCUUUGAGCCUAUCGAGUGCCGAAAGUCCUCACAGUAAGAGCCUGUGGAGAAGAUCACAAGCUUACGACAUGAAAGGGAUGGCUAAGGAGAGUUUGAUGGAUUGUUUAACGUUCAUCAAUGGUCACACGAUGUCUGAACAAGCCAAGCAUGUUAAGAUCCCAUACUACGCAGCUCACAUGAUCAACAAGCAAAUGAAUGCCACGUGGCUUUUCGCAGGUGUGAAGUCAAAAAAACAAAUUUGAAGAAAAAGUAGACAAAUCCAAUGGAGAGGACAAAAUGACGACAAUGGUGAUCAAAGGCAUUCUUGGUUGGUCUAUGCAUAUUUAACACCCGCAUUUUCAUUCAUUUAUUUAUUCACAUUUACUUGCUUUUGCUUUUUGGCAGGCAUGCCCACUAUUCUAGAAGAAUCACUGGGCGGAAAGAGGUGGUGGAGAAGCAAGCGAGCAAGACAGGGCGAAACGCAGGAGAGAAGCUGGAGGUAUCACUUCUGAUUUGGCACGUGUGAAAAUGAGAUGAGAAUUGAGAACAGAGCAUCAGGAGACCAUACUUGAUGAUAAUCUACGAUUAAUGUAUAAUUUUCCAGAGUUAAUUAAGGAUUUAAAGUCUAAGAUUGUUCCCUCUUAAGCAUGCUUUAGCUCAUUAGCUGGGUUACAGAUUAUGUCCCGUAAUCUAAUGAGGAUCAAAAGAUUAUAAUACCUAAUCUAGAUUUUACAUGUAUCACAUCGUACCAAACGCACCAAUAGAGGGCAUUAUCAAUAAAUUAAUGUUAAAAUCCAG